GUGACCGUGCCGAUAACUGCGGAGACUGACGACAGGUCCCUUCUCGAAGGAUCGCAAGAGCUCUCCGAGCGCGUGGAGCGCGAUGUGGAAGACCGCGAUCCCCGUGUGGGCUUCACCCUCUGGAAGACAGUGACCUCCACCUUCACCUACACCUCUACCAGCACCGACACCGCCACCACCGUGUCCGCGUCCUUCGUAUGCUCCGUCGCUGACUACGUCGCGCCCUUCCCCGCCUGCUGAGCGGACGCUGUUCUGCUGCCGCGGGCCAUCUGCGUGAAAGAUACGGGUCGUCUCGGCAUCUCGCCCUGCGGAAUGACCAUGCUCUUGUUGUUAUGCUUAUUUAAUGUUUCCUGUUGUCUUAAUAUUAUUAUGUUAUUUACUUUGUAAAAAAUCGGGCCAGCUACAUAUACACACAAUCGAACAAA